rnacentral:rRNA from 1 species
GAACGCUGGCGGCAGGCUUUACACAUGCAAGUCGAACAGUAACAGGGUGCUUGCACCGCUGACGAGUGGCGAACGGGAGAGUAAUGUAUCGGAACAUACCAUAGAGUGGGGGAUAACGCUUCGAAAGGAGUGCUAAUACCGCAUAAUGCCUGAGGGCUAAAGGAGGGGAUCGCAAGACCUUUCGCUGUAUGAGUGGCCGAUAUCUGAUUAGCUAGUUGGUGAGGUAAAGGCUCACCAAGGCGACGAUCAGUAGCGGGUCUGAGAGGACGACCCGCCUCACUGGAACUGAGACACGGUCCAGACUCCUACGGGAGGCAGCAGUGGGGAAUUUUGGACAAUGGGCGGAAGCCUGAUCCAGCCAUGCCGCGUGUCUGAAGAAGGC